UGGGGAAUAUUGGACAAUGGGCGAAAGCCUGAUCCAGCCAUGCCGCGUGUGUGAAGAAGGCCUUUUGGUUGUAAAGUUCUUUCGGUAUUGAGGAAGGUUGAUGUGUUAAUAGCACAUCAAAUUGACGUUAAAUACAGAAGAAGCACCGGCUAACUCCGUGCCAGCAGCCGCGGUAAUACGGAGGGUGCGAGCGUUAAUCGGAAUAACUGGGCGUAAAGGGCACGCAGGCGGUUAUUUAAGUGAGGUGUGAAAGCCCCGGGCUUAACCUGGGAAUUGCAUUUCAGACUGGGUAACUAGAGUACUUUAGGGAGGGGUAGAAUUCCACGUGUAGCGGUGAAAUGCGUAGAGAUGUGGAGGAAUACCGAAGGCGAAGGCAGCCCCUUGGGAAUGUACUGACGCUCAUGUGCGAAAGCGUGGGGAGCAAACAGGAUUAGAUACCCUGGUAGUCCACGCUGUAAACGCUGUCGAUUUGGGGGUUGGGGUUUAACUCUGGCGCCCGUAGCUAACGUGAUAAAUCGACCGCCUGGGGAGUACGGCCGCAAGGUUA
rnacentral:rRNA from 1 species